GAUGAACGCUGGCGGCGUGCCUAAUACAUGCAAGUCGAGCGAACAGACGAGGAGCUUGCUCCUCUGACGUUAGCGGCGGACGGGUGAGUAACACGUGGAUAACCUACCUAUAAGACUGGGAUAACUUCGGGAAACCGGAGCUAAUACCGGAUAAUAUAUUGAACCGCAUGGUUCAAUAGUGAAAGACGGUUUUGCUGUCACUUAUAGAUGGAUCCGCGCCGCAUUAGCUAGUUGGUAAGGUAACGGCUUACCAAGGCGACGAUGCGUAGCCGACCUGAGAGGGUGAUCGGCCACACUGGAACUGAGACACGGUCCAGACUCCUACGGGAGGCAGCAGUAGGGAAUCUUCCGCAAAGGGCAAAAGCCUGACGGAGCAACGCCGCGUGAGUGAUGAAGGUCUUCGGAUCGUAAAACUCUGUUAUUAGGGAAGAACAAAUGUGUAAGUAACUAUGCACGUCUUGACGGUACCUAAUCAGAAAGCCACGGCUAACUACGUG
rnacentral:rRNA from 1 species